UCAGGUGAAUGUCGGAUAUC
rnacentral:miRNA from 1 species